rnacentral:tRNA from 1 species
GACUUUAUAGUUUAUAAAAAUUUUAAAUUGCAAAUUUGAAGAUAUACUUGUAGUAUUGAAGUUU